GUGGGGAAUUUUGGACAAUGGGCGCAAGCCUGAUCCAGCCAUGCCGCGUGAGUGAAGAAGGCCUUCGGGUUGUAAAGCUCUUUCAGCCGGGAAGAAAACGCAUGGGUUAAUACCCUGUGUGGAUGACGGUACCGGAAUAAGAAGCACCGGCUAACUACGUGCCAGCAGCCGCGGUAAUACGUAGGGUGCGAGCGUUAAUCGGAAUUACUGGGCGUAAAGCGUGCGCAGGCGGUUUGUUAAGAUAGGCGUGAAAUCCCCGGGCUCAACCUGGGAACUGCGUUUAUGACUGGCAGGCUAGAGUAUGGCAGAGGGGGGUGGAAUUCCACGUGUAGCAGUGAAAUGCGUAGAGAUGUGGAGGAACACCGAUGGCGAAGGCAGCCCCCUGGGCCAAUACUGACGCUCAUGCACGAAAGCGUGGGUAGCAAACAGGAUUAGAAACCCCAGUAGUCC
rnacentral:rRNA from 1 species